UUUUAGGGAUGAGCAAAGAAAGUGAUUUCUUGAUAUGGAAUAUACUCCUGGUGAACAUACUAUGAA
rnacentral:pre_miRNA from 1 species